rnacentral:rRNA from 1 species
UACAGAGGUCUCAAGCGUUGUUCGGAUUCAUUGGGCGUAAAGGGCGCGUAGGCGGCGGGGUAAGUCUGGUGUGAAAUCUCGGAGCUCAACUCCGAAAUUGCACUGGAUACUGCUCUGCUUGAGGGUUGGAGAGGAGAUCGGAAUUCACGGUGUAGCAGUGAAAUGCGUAGAUAUCGUGAGGAAGACCAGUGGCGAAGGCGGAUCUCUGGAACAAAUCCUGACGCUGAGGCGCGAAGGCUAGGGGAGCAAACGGG